GAGUUUGAUCGUGGCUCAGAUUGAACGCUGGCGGCAUGCCUUACACAUGCAAGUCGAACGGCAGCACGGGAGCUUGCUCCUGGUGGCGAGUGGCGAACGGGUGAGUAAUGCAUCGGAACGUAUCCUGGAGUGGGGGAUAACGUAGCGAAAGUUACGCUAAUACCGCAUAUUCUGUGAGCAGGAAAGCGGGGGACCUUCGGGCCUCGCGCUCUUGGAGCGGCCGAUGUCGGAUCAGCUAGUUGGUGAGGUAAAGGCUCACCAAGGCGACGAUCCGUAGCAGGUCUGAGAGGAUGAUCUGCCACACUGGAACUGAGACACGGUCCAGACUCCUACGGAGGCAACAGUGGGAAUUUUGGACAAGUGGGGCAACCCUGAUCCAGCCAUGCCGCGUGAGUGAAGAAGGCCUCGGUU
rnacentral:rRNA from 1 species